GUGAGUUUAUAACCAAAACUGGCUGCUCACUGCCCAUUCCCAGCAUAGAGACCGACUUCUCUAUGCUGUUUCCAGGAUUUUCAACUAGAAUUGCAACAAGGGGCUUUUUAUGGGAAUCUCUCCAUGACUUUUGAAAGAAAAUUGCAAAGGAGAUACUUCAAGAGGAAAAAAAGCUAUAAAUUGAAGCAACAAAUUGUGAGCAUCUGUGUGCACAUCCCUUUGCAUCCUGGUACCACUGCUGGCACACGGCUCUCAGGAGGAGUUCAGUGAUGGUGACAAAAUUCAAUUUCAAUGUCCCU
rnacentral:lncRNA from 1 species